UUCAGUAUGGCAGAUAAAUGCACUAAUCUUAAAAGUUAGCUAUAGAACAUGUAGUUUUUAUUGAAA
rnacentral:tRNA from 1 species